AANUGCGGNAGCUAUACAUGCAAGUCGAACGAAGACUGUAGUAAUACUGUCUUAGUGGCGAACGGGUGAGUAACGCGUGGGUGACCUGCCCCGAAGUGUGGGAUAACAGUCCGAAAGGAUUGCUAAUACUGCAUAAUAUCCAAGAGAUUAGACGCUUUUGGAUUAAAGGAGUAAUUCGCUUCGGGAGGGGCACGCGUCCCAUCAGCUAGUUGGUAAGGUAAUAGCUUACCAAGGCGAUGACGGGUAGGGGACCUGAGAGGGUGGCCCCCCACAAUGGAACUGAAACACGGUCCAUACACCUACGGGUGGCAGCAGUAGGGAAUAUUAGUAAUGGGCGAAAGCCUGAACUAGCAACGCCGCGUGUGCGAAGAAGGCCUUCGGGUCGUAAAGCACUUUUUGAGAGGAUGAGGAAGGACGGUACUCUCAGAAUAAGUCUCGGCUAACUACGUGCCAGCAGCCGCGGUAACACGUAGGAGGCAAACGUUAUCCGGAUUUACUGGGCGUAAAGCGCGUGUAGGUGGUUUGGUAAGUAGGGCGUGAAAGCUCCUGGCUCAACUGGGAGAGGACGUUCUAAACUGCCAAGCUUGAGGAUGGUAGAGGGAGGUGGAAUUCCGGGUGUAGCGGUGGAAUGCGCAGAUAUCUGGAGGAACACCAGUGGCGAAGGCGGCCUCCUGGACCAUUCCUGACACUCAGACGCGAAAGCUAGGGUAGCAAACGGAAUUAGAGACUCCGGUAGUCCUAGCCCUAAACGAUGCAGACUAGGCGUCGGCGGUUUAAUCACCGUCGGUGUCCAAGCUAACGCGAUAAGUCUGCCGCCUGAGGGACUACGGCCGCAAGGCUAAAACUUAAAGGAAUUGACGGGUCCCCGCACAAGCAGCGGAGCGUGUGGUUUAAUUCGAUGCUCCGCGAAGAACCUUACCUGGGUUUGACAUAACAGUGGUAGAGAAGUGAAAACGGACCGACCCUUCGGGGA
rnacentral:rRNA from 1 species